GGCUCUGUGGCUUAACGGAUGAGGCGGCGGUCUCCUAAACCAAAGAUUCAAUGUUCGAGUCUUUGCCGGGUCG
rnacentral:tRNA from 1 species